UUCGCAAUGCCCGAAAGGGUGACGAAGCGACGCCGCGUGCGGGAAGAAGGUCUUCGGGUUGUAAACCGCUGUCGGGAGUUAGGAAAUGCAAGGAUGUUAAUAGCAUCUUUGCUUGACUAAGGCUCCGGAGGAAGCCACGGCUAACUCUGUGCCAGCAGCCGCGGUAAUACAGAGGCGGCAAGCGUUGUUCGGAAUUAUUGGGCGUAAAGAGCACGUAGGCGGCCGUGUAAGUCGGUUGUGAAAGCCUUCCGCUCAACGGAAGAACAGCAUCUGAUACUGCAAGGCUAGAGUGCGGAAGGGGAGAGUGGAACUUCUGGUGGAGCGGUGAAAUGCGUAGAUAUCAGAAGGAACGCCGGCGGCGAAAGCGACUCUCUGGCCUAUUACUGACACUGAGUGUGCGAAAGUUAGGGGAGCAAACGGGAUUAGAUACCCCGGUAGUCCUAACUGUAAACGAUGGGCACUAAGUAGAGGGGUUUU
rnacentral:rRNA from 1 species